rnacentral:lncRNA from 1 species
AUAAAUGUGCAAUAUAAAUAAAUUAAAAAUGUUUAGAAUAUUCGUAAAUAUUCGUAAAGAAUUAAUAUAUAGAGGUCAAUUUUGUAGAUCGAUACAUAAGCCAAGUCACGAGCAUGUUAGUAACGAUGAGAUUAUGUCUCCCGCCAACGGACAAAUAGAAACGAAUGUAACACAAAAUAGGUUAAGGAGAAAUAUAGAAUAAUUGUUGAAAUAAUAUGGAAGGCUUCGAUGAUCGAUACGCUAUGUCAGCAAUAGAUAUCGAAAGCAUGAAUAAGAUCGAUAAAUAUAGAACAAUGACGAUAUAAAGAGAUACGUACGAAUAAAAUGAAUGGGAAUAAAUAUCGAGGAUCUCGGCGUACAGGAACAUCAAAAUCAAUAUUUCUACGCAUUUUAUUAGCCAAUAUAAGACGAUGGACAUAUUCUGUAUCCCUAAUAUCUUCUGAUGUAUCAAACGCUCGUUUAACAUAAU